UUUGACAUUUGUUUUGAAAAUGUAUGAAACUAGCAACAUUGACGAAAAUGUUUUUUAAAAUGGCCGUUGUUAUUGGUACAACUCCUAGUUACGCAGUGGAAAAAAUGUGACAAUAAAACAAACCGAUAGCAAUAUGCACAACAGUGUAUCGUGAUAGCAACUUGGAUUCUCUGUGCUAGAAGACAGUUCUUAAUUCUAGGAACCAACCCGUUUGUAUCCCUGCGCCCUUAAAUUGCAAACAUUAUGCUCCUGUAUCAUAUAAAGGAAGUGCUUUUUAAAUUACAUCGGGAUGAUGUAGCAAGAAUAGUAGCUCUAGUGGUUAUGCUCUUUCCGUUGUUACUGGAUUUAAUAUUAGGACCUCCGCACAGCUUUGCAGUGUGAUGUUUGUGGACAAGAAAACUGCCCAUGCCACAACCGCAAUGUGUAGGUUCACGAACCAUAGAAAGAGCUUCUAAUUGAUCGCUCGCUGGAUGACACGGUGAAUAAAUUUUUCAUCUACUUUUGGACGGUUUCAUAAGCAAUUGGUACUCGCAGAUAGCUCCUGAGUGGAGUACAUUCUCAACAUCACAAGCAACGUGAGGGAUGCUCUGUACCUUUUGUAGCUAGAGCCUCAUAAACAGGGAAUUGUGCGAGCCUGGUGUACGAUUUUUUCAGAUUUCCCAUGAUGAUAAGAGGAUGUGCGGAUGUUGGUGAAAAAUUAGAGGCUGUGAUUGGAAAGCUCGCGGUUUUCCAGUAAGUCGAAAAAACCCAAGGAAGUUCUGGACUAUUUCAACGACACUUUCAUCCCGUCAGAUCUAGACAGUGGAAUCAACUUAGCUUUAAUAUCAGCUUCAUAUUUUAGGCUGAACUUAAUAUGUACAAACUAUGAAAUUUCAUUCGAUCUAGUACCAGUAAGGGGCCGCACACUAAUUACGUAAGGCUUUUUUAGAGCUUUUCAACCUCCCCCUCCCCCCAGAUAAGAGUUCGUAAGAUUUUGGUGAACUCCCCCUCCCCCUACAUAAGAUCUUAUCAUGAUUAUCGUAAUUAAAAAAUCGAAUUGUUAAUUCAUCAAAUUUAUUAUAGCGAAAACGAUAUGUAUAGAAUUAUUACAAGAAAACUCAUGACAAAAUUUAACUGUAAUCAUCUGCAGAAUUUUAAUUGCAUGCCAAUCUC